AUCGGGAGGCGACAGUAGGGAAUCUUCCGCAAUGGACGAAAGUCUGACGGAGCAACGCCGCGUGAGCGAAGAAGGUCUUCGGAUCGUAAAGCUCUGUUGUCCAGGGAAGAACAAGUACGAGAGUAACUGCUCGUAUCCUUGACGGUACCUGGCCAGAAAGCCACGGCUAACUACGUGCCAGCAUGCCGCG
rnacentral:rRNA from 1 species